rnacentral:lncRNA from 1 species
CCGGCCGGAAGUAGCCUUUUACCUGAGUGACAGUGUACUCGGUGGGAAGCCAAGCAUCUUCCUGUUUUUAAGACAGAAGAGAGGCGGGCUUUCUGGAGGCACCUGCAGCCCCCAUGUCGCUGCUCGGGGGUCUGGUGGCUAAAGGAUGGCGCGCUGAGAUGGAGCACCGGGCAGCUAGCAUCGUUGGCCCAGGCUGGCCGCAAACUGUCACCCUGUGUGUUGAUGACUUGGCAGCCUUAUCACUUUUUAUAAACUUUUCCUUGGCUCAGAGAAAGGAUUCAUGAGUGUUCCAGGAUCACUGUUUAUACUGCAAAGACCAGAAACGCAUCUCCAUCCCAAAUCCUGUAACAAAAUCUCCCUGAAUGUUCUUGUACUUUCUUUCUUUUUCCUGUUUUUUUUUUUCCUUUUUCUUUUUUCUCUUUGUAAAUCAGCUAUACUUUAAUUUUUAAAAUGGUAAAAAAAAAAAAAAAUACGAAACGACAUGGUUCCAGUACUUUCUAGCCAAAGAGCUGAACAGGCCACUCCCUUCUGACCACCUCAUUGCCUCAACAGGUGUCCCUUGCUCGUCAGAAGCUCGGAGGUGGAACUCAGGCCUGGAUAGAUCCAGAGACAGACAGACAGACGGACGGACUUGCGUUGGAUGUAUUUCUGACCAUUGAGCACAUCACAUGUUGGGACGGCCUGGUCCCAAGAAAGUCCUCAGUAAAUGUCAUCCAACAGAAUAAAAAAUGAACUCCGGCAUUCACUUAUUUUUAAAAAAAUCUGUUUACACUUCGUGCUUGUAUUCCUUCUUGUGGGGAAACUCGAGUUGGGUAAAUUUACCCUUCGCCGUUGGAGGAAGAAUCCCUUUAAUUCGCCCUCAACUACUUCUUUGGAGCUCGAAGUGGCCGCCCGUCGUCGUCCAAGGCUUGGUGUUCCCUUUCCCUACCCCCUCAAAGUGUUGCCUGCCCCUAUAAGGUGCAGAACUCACCAACGAGUCAAGCAAAUCCAUCCCGCUGAGAUCCUGGCGGACCGCGGGAGGGGCACCUGUCAACACAGAGGUGUCUCCGUCUUUGCUAUCCUUUUGGUUCCUCUUCCUAAGCCGUGCCCAUCACAGAAUGGUACCCCAUGUCUCCUGGACUCGAAUUGUUAAUGUCUGUGAUGCCUUGAGGCUUUGGUUUUUUGGGUUUUUUUUUUUUUUUUUUUUGUCUUUUCUAGGGCCGCACCCACGGCAUAUGGAGGUUCCCAGGCUAGGGGUUGAAUUGGAGCUGUAGCUGCCAGCCUACGCCAGAGCCACAGCAACACGGGAUCCGAGCUGCGUCUGCGAUCUACACCACAGCUCACAGCAACGCCGGAUCCUUAACUUACUGAGUGAGGCCAGGGGUUGAACCCACGACCUCAUGGUUCCAAGUCAGAGUCGUUAACCACUGAGCCACGACGGAAACUCCAAGGCUUUGAUGUUUUUGCUGCGUUGAGGCUCAGUGACUUUCCACAGCUGCUGUAGACGUGGAAAGAACAAACGAGAAGCUGGAACUCCCCAGCCUUGGCUCCUAAUGUGCAGCUCAGGGAGAUUCCAGUGAAAACAACUGGUGGGAAGACGUUGGUGUGAGUUCAAGACCCAUCAGUCCUGUGGCGGCCACGUCGAGACAGGAGAGAAAGACUUUGAUCUUUGCUCUGAAAGGUUACAGCUUCCGGUCCGUGUGUGUGACCCUCCCUGCUCUGCAGACGUGUGCGUGGCCCUCCCAUCAGCCCACCUUGCUUCCAGGAGUGAGUGGACAGAGGGAUGGACCCUCUCCAAGACGUCGGACCAGGCUCAAGUGUUCCUUGUUCCAGCUUGGGCUUCAUCAUGGCCAGAAGGGCCGUUUCCUUUGUCUCAACCUCCCCAUGACUUAACUCUUGCCGGGGUGGCAACAAGGACCCUUUGCUGGGAUUUCCAAGAAUGGCCGUGGCCAGUCCCUUACCAGGAGGGCUCUCGGGUGCGUCUUGGUUCUUUCCCCGUCCAGGACCUCCCAGAAGCCUUUGUUGCUCAUGACACACCAUUUUAUUCAAAUGCAAAUGUUAUUUUUUUGGGAAUCAGAGUCUAAGAUUGCACAAUGAUGGAAAAGCUGAUGGAAAUCAAACCUCUCUCUUUGUACUUCACUGGCCCUCAUAACAAGUUAUUAACGAGUACUUGCUAAGGGCCAGGCCCUGUUCUGACUGUUUCCCAUGUUUUAACCAUCUCGUGCUCACGGCAGCCCCAUCGGAGAAGGAUGCCGUCGUCAUCCGCCCGUGUCACAACAGAUGGGGAGCCGGACCGGGGGCCAAGCUUGGAAGUGAAGCUGUCAGGAUUUGAGCUCAGGCCAGCUAGCUCCAGAUGAUGGCACGAGCGGGCAGCCUGCAGCCUCGGUUGUAAUCGUGGGUGAUGCAGCUUGGGAGGCACUUGCUGCUCAGAGAGGUGGAGUGACUUGAGCAGAGACACAGCGCUGAUGGAGUCAGGAUUCACAUUCGUCAGUCUGGAUCCUCCUUCCCCUGGACGGACUUUGUCAGCUUCCAGAGAAGGAUAGAUUAUCUUUUCCUGAGUGUCAGCUCCGUGCCAGGCACUGUCUGUGUGUGUUCACAUAUCUUAUCUGCUAAAACCUAGAGAGGGAGUUCCUGCUGUGGCGCAGUGGGCUUGGCGGUGUCUCUACAGCGCCAGGACGGAGGUUUGAUCCUUGGCUGGUGCAGUGGGUUAAAGAAAGAUUUGGCAUUGCUGCAGCUGCAGCACAGGUUGCAGCUGUGGCUCGGAUCUGAUCCCUGGCCUAGGAAUUCCAUAUACCACAGGGUGGCCAAAAAGGAAAAAUAAUAAAAAUAAAAAUGAGGAGUUCCCA